AGUGAUCCUCCCACCUCAGCGGCCCCCAAGUAGCUGGGACUACAGUCGUGUGCCACCACACCUGGCUAAUUUUUCAAAAACUCUAAAGAUGGAGCUUACUAUGUUGCUCAGGCUGCCACCGCUCUUUACCAGCCUUUCUUGCUCCUCAUGUUUUGACAUCUGAACCGAUCCCAGCCAGUGGGACUCUAGGCGAUGUCUGCUGGUGGGCUUCUGGGCUUUCUAAUAAAGACAAAGUGUCCUUUUCUUUGGCCAGGUGUUGUGUCUGCAAUGAUGGUAUCUGAAGCAACCAUGUGGAUCCCAUGAGAACAGCCUAAAGGCCAGGGCAGUGGCUGAGAUGGAGAGCCUGGCUCUUGAUGACAUCAUUGGGCCACUGAACCAACCCUGUGACCACAGACUUCUUGCCCUUGCAUAUGCAGCAGAGUCUGAAUUCCCAUCUGCUGGGAGCACAGAAAGGGGCACAGCAUCCUGGUUACAAACCUGAAGAGUCUACACAUCUCUCACUAAUGAAGCCAUCACAGUCUGGAGCCAGGUCUUCCCAUUUGAAUGAGGAGAGAGGACAGAGUCACAUUUGCUUGCCUUUUACUGCUUACUGACUGAAUAGCAUCAGGGAAGGUUUACUUUAUGAACCUGGCACAAAGUAGGUUCUGGGCCUGAUGUUAACAACAUUCACUCUGCCCUCUUCACAAAUGAAAAAGUGGAACAUUUCUGACUUCUAGUAAAUUCACAUUGCAGUGACUUUCUCUGGACACAGAUCUUGCAGUUCUUCCAUCCCUCAAGGCUGCUGUGAUUAAUUUAUUUUAAAAAGUCUUUCACAGUUUCAGGAGAAGAACAGUUGAAAAGCUCUAGGUAGAGGUUAAUUUGGUGUUCACAAAUCAAGUGAUAGUCCACUCUAUCUCAUAGCUCAAUGAAUAGUAGGAUUAGGAGAGUAACUUCACUUUUGUAUUGAAUCCCUUUUUAUAUGUACCUUUAAAAACUUUUGCACUUCCUUUUUUUUUCUCCUUCAGUGAACCUUAGCAUAUAAACAAGAUAUUUUUUUAAAAAAGCAUUUUAUAUGUAGACAUGAACUUUUAUAUUUCUCAGACUUAAAUUUGAAAGCAGGUAGAGUAGGCAGUUGUUUUGCCUGCUUAACUCCUUUCCUUUCCCUUUUUUUUUUUUUUUUUUUUUUAAAUAUUUUAUUCUUUUUAAGAGAUUGGGGUCUCACUGUGUUGACCAGGCUGGUCUCAAACUCCUGAGCUCAAGUGAUCCUUCUGCCUUGGCCUCCCAAAGUAUAGUUAUUACAGGCGAGACCCACUAUGUCUGGCCCUAACCUUUUCUAGAAAAUUCUGGAAUUGUCUAAUCCAUGAACUCCAUCUGCAUGGUUAGUGCAAGUCACCAUGUUACUACUAUAUGGCCCAAGCCAUGAGUACUACCCACUCUUCAGAGCCUAGAAUCCUGGAGAGAGUUUACCUCUAUUUCAUUCUGUCUCCAAAUUUUACAGUGUUUCUUCCUGCAUCUUGUGAAAACCUUUGCAGACAGAUAUUCUUUUCUGAACACUUUUCUCAGAGGUGCAUCGUGCUGUGUUGCUGGAGUGUAUCAUCUAUGUAUAAUGUAACCCUUGUUACCUGAUAGUAAUUACUAUAAACUUUGUCAAUGCGUUACUAUGAAGAGGGGUAAAAGUUGUGUUAGGUUUACAAUAAACAUUUUUUGUUGCAUACAAUGUAUACAUGUUUAUAAAUUGCCUUGUUUUGAACCAGAGCCAGGCUUAUUCCCAUUCCAAAUGAAAGCACCAAAGUCUCAAAACCUCCUGCCUCUUGUUUCUGUUAUGCUUUGGUCUUAUCCUCUACCCAUGAAUUGUUUCUUUGCUUUCCACACAGAACCCCAACUCAAGCUAUUCCAACUCAGAAGCAUAGAAAAAAUAUAAAAUUCAAGAACAGAUAUUAGAAUGGAAAAUGAGUUUAACUUAAAAGAAUACCAACAGUCUCAGGUUUAAAGUCUAACAACUUUAUGUGUUUAUUUUUGCUUUAAUCUUGUCAUCAUGGGUAAAUUUUUAGCUGUUCAUUUUUAUACAACAUAGGAUCAGAGAGAGCGUGAACACAUUAGUCUCUACAAGGCUAAUUCUACCCCAGCACCCAUCAAAGUGACCCAAAUGACACGCCAUGCAUCUUGAGUGACGUGCACUGCCAUAUACUCUGAGCUCUACUACAGGUAAUGUUACACCAAAUUGACGUUGUAACUGUGUUUCAAAUGUCUCUUAGAGACAAAUAUAGAACAGUAGGUAAAAUAACCCUGAAGACUUCCAAGAGUAAUGAGGUUUCGCCAAGGUUUGUUGUAUUUAUCGUGGAUAGUUUUCAGGAAAUAACUUACCAGAAAGCCUGAUUGAUUUGACAGUCAUUUUGACCUGUGAUUUAUUUAUUAAAUACAAUUUCAAGAUUCCUGGAAUAAAGUAUUCUUAAUAGAUUGUAGAUCCUGUAUCUUUUUAUAAGCAAAUAAUCCCUUGUGAUUUUUAAAGUUGCAAGAAAAUGCUGAUGGAAAAAUUUUCAUGAUGUUGAAAUAGGUAUAAAUAGAAGCUUAUACAAAGCCACUGUCUCAACAUCAGCAGGAUAAGAGAUAAGAACUUCUGAGACAUUAUACUGUUUCCCAAAAAAAACACUACUCAGUUUUUUUUCCUUCCCCUUUUUCUCUCCCCACCCUGUGCUUUCCUCCUUUCCAUCCCUAAUAACUGAGUUCCACCUAUGAUUUUAAUCUUACUAAAUCAGAAAUUGGCUUGGUUUCAUUUUAAGUUCCUUUUAUAUGUGCUCAUGAUUAAAAACAACAAAAACCCUGCUUUUGAUCACAAUAAGAUCUUUACCAUCUCUAACCAUUCCUUCUCCAGUAUAUGAAGUAUAUGAAUUAUUCUAAUUCAAUAGGAUUCUAAUGCAAUUUGGCAAUAACUAGUGUUUGGAUUUAAAAAGCCAUUGGCAUAAACAGAAGGAGAUGUUUAGGGGAAAUGAGCAGGCAAGCAAAUAAUUUAGAAAGAAGUGAUGGUUUCUGUGGUUAAAAAUAAAAGUCUGGGAUUUAGUUUUUCUUUGCCAUACAGAAAACAGAUGUUGCUAUUUUUGUUCAAAAUACAAAACUUAAAUUCCAUGCUUAGACUCUGGAAUGUGUAAAGUAACUAUGGAUACCAAAU